GCGAGCGGAACCACAGAUUUACUUCGGUAAUGACGUUGGGAAAGCGAGCGGCGGAUGGGUGAGUAACACGUGGGGAACCUGCCCCUAAGUCUGGGAUACCAUUUGGAAACAGGUGCUAAUACCGGAUAAUAAAGCAGAUCGCAUGAUCAGCUUUUGAAAGGCGGCGUAAGCUGUCGCUAAGGGAUGGCCCCGCGGUGCAUUAGCUAGUUGGUAAGGUAACGGCUUACCAAGGCGACGAUGCAUAGCCGAGUUGAGAGACUGAUCGGCCACAUUGGGACUGAGACACGGCCCAAACUCCUACGGGAGGCAGCAGUAGGGAAUCUUCCACAAUGGACGCAAGUCUGAUGGAGCAACGCCGCGUGAGUGAAGAAGGUUUUCGGAUCGUAAAGCUCUGUUGUUGGUGAAGAAGGAUAGAGGUAGUAACUGGCCUUUAUUUGACGGUAAUCAACCAGAAAGUCACGGCUAACUACGUGCCAGCAGCCGCGGUAAUACGUAGGUGGCAAGCGUUGUCCGGAUUUAUUGGGCGUAAAGCGAGCGCAGGCGGAAAAAUAAGUCUAAUGUGAAAGCCCUCGGCUUAACCGAGGAACUGCAUCGGAAACUGUUUUUCUUGAGUGCAGAAGAGGAGAGUGGAACUCCAUGUGUAGCGGUGGAAUGCGUAGAUAUAUGGAAGAACACCAGUGGCGAAGGCGGCUCUCUGGUCUGCAACUGACGCUGAGGCUCGAAAGCAUGGGUAGCGAACAGGAUUAGAUACCCUGGUAGUCCAUGCCGUAAACGAUGAGUGCU
rnacentral:rRNA from 1 species